rnacentral:rRNA from 1 species
AGGUGGGGAUGACGUCAAGUCAUCAUGGCCCUUACGCGCUGGGCUACACACGUGCUACAUGGCGGUGACAGUGGGCAGCAAUCCCGCGAGGGUGAGCUAAUCUCCAAAAGCCGUCUCAGUUCGGAUUGUUCUCUGCAACUCGAGAGCAUGAAGGCGGAAUCGCUAGUAAUCGCGGAUCAGCAUGCCGCGGUGAAUACGUUCC